UUGUCCUGUGACUGCGUACCUUUUGUAUAAUGGGUCAGCGACUUAUAUUCAGUGGCAAGGUUAACCAUCUAGGGGAGCCGUAGGGAAACCGAGUCUUAACUGGGCGUUCAGUCUCUGGAUAUAGACCCGAAACCAGGUGAUCUAGCCAUGGGCAGGUUGAAGGUUGAGUAACAUCAACUGGAGGACCGAACCGACUAAUGUUGAAAAAUUAGCGGAUGACUUGUGGCUAGGGGUGAAAGGCCAAUCAAACCUGGAGAUAGCUGGUUCUCCCCGAAAGCUAUUUAGGUAGCGCCUCGGACGAAUACUACUGGGGGUAGAGCACUGUUAAGGCUAGGGGGUCAUCCCGACUUACCAACCCUUUGCAAAC
rnacentral:rRNA from 1 species